rnacentral:rRNA from 1 species
GACGAACGCUGGCGGCGUGCUUAACACAUGCAAGUCGAACGGAAAGGCCCUGCUUUUGUGGGGUGCUCGAGUGGCGAACGGGUGAGUAACACGUGAGUAACCUGCCCUUGACUUUGGGAUAACUUCAGGAAACUGGGGCUAAUACCGGAUAGGAGCUCCUGCUGCAUGGUGGGGGUUGGAAAGUUUCGGCGGUUGGGGCUGGACUCGCGGCUUAUCAGCUUGUUGGUGGGGUAGUGGCUUACCAAGGCUUUGACGGGUAGCCGGCCGGAGAGGGUGACCGGCGACAUUGGGACUGAGAUACGGACCAGACUCCUAUGGGAGGCAGCAGUGGGGAAUAUUGCGCAAUGGGCGGAAGCCUGAGGCAGCAACGCCGCGUGCGGGAUGACGGCCUUCGGGUUGUAAACCGCUUUCGCCUGUGACGAAGCGUGAGUGACGGUAAUGGGUAAAGAAGCAACGGCUAACUACGUG